rnacentral:rRNA from 1 species
UGAACCUUUACUAUAGCUUGACACUGAACAUUGAGCCUUGAUGUGUAGGAUAGGUGGGAGGCUUAGAAGUGUGGACGCCAGUCUGCAUGGAGCCGACCUUGAAAUACCACCCUUUAAUGUUUGAUGUUCUAACGUUGACCCGUAAUCCGGGUUGCGGACAGUGUCUGGUGGGUAGUUUGACUGGGGCGGUCUCCUCCUAAAGAGUAACGGAGGAGCACGAAGGUUGGCUAAUCCUGGUCGGACAUCAGGAGGUUAGUGCAAUGGCAUAAGCCAGCUUGACUGCGAGCGUGACGGCGCGAGCAGGUGCGAAAGCAGGUCAUAGUGAUCCGGUGGUUCUGAAUGGAAGGGCCAUCGCUCAACGGAUAAAAGGUACUCCGGGGAUAACAGGCUGAUACCGCCCAAGAGUUCAUAUCGACGGCGGUGUUUGGCACCUCGAUGUCGGCUCAUCACAUCCUGGGGCUGAAGUAGGUCCCAAGGGUAUGGCUGUUCGCCAUUUAAAGUGGUACGCGAGCUGGGUUUAGAACGUCGUGAGACAGUUCGGUCCCUAUCUGCCGUGGGCGCUGGAGAACUGAGGGGGGCUGCUCCUAGUACGAGAGGACCGGAGUGGACGCAUCACUGGUGUUCGGGUUGUCAUGCCAAUGGCACUGCCCGGUAGCUAAAUGCGGAAGAGAUAAGUGCUGAAAGCAUCUAAGCACGAAACUUGCC